rnacentral:lncRNA from 1 species
UAACUUGUUGGAAUGUGUAGCAUUUUUCAUGGCACCGUAUUUAUUAGCAUAGAUAAGAAAAGUGUCUUCAGUAGGCUUUCCCUGGUGAUCGUUCAAAAAAAAAGGUAAGUCUGGCCAACAGCUCCUGAAGGGAGGCAGGAAGAGCACGAUUAUGAGGCCGCCGUUUUGCAGCAGGGGGCGCCAUUUUACAGCGGAGGCCGCCAUUAGAGGGUGUAACGGACCUGAUGCUGCUCGUCCUCCUGAGGAGGAUACACUGAGUGAGACCAUUGUCCUUCAAAAUUUUCUGGAGAUGAAGUCUUCUGGAGGAAAGCUCUGGGAAAUGUCUAUCCUUCCUGAAUGAGUACUGGCUCCACCUUCGGCUUUCAGCAGUCUGUCAGCCUGUUUGUGGGAAACAAAAAGGAAUCCUUGUGUUUGGCCGGAUACCCAGCACCUGCGGAACACAUAUCUACAGCAAAUAUUUUGCUUUGUUUAACUUCUACCUGAAAUAAAGCUGAUGCUAUGGAACUUCAGUUUGGGAAGAUAAGAUUUGGUUUGUUUCACUUGCUACAGUGGCACUUGGGAUGCACUAGCACAAAGCAGUUG